AGUGAACGCUGGCGGUAGGCCUAACACAUGCAAGUCGAACGGCAGCACAGUAAGAGCUUGCUCUUACGGGUGGCGAGUGGCGGACGGGUGAGGAAUACAUCGGAAUCUACUUUUUCGUGGGGGAUAACGUAGGGAAGCUUACGCUAAUACCGCAUACGACCUACGGUUGAAAGCAGGGGAUCUUCGGACCUUGCGCGAUUGAAUGAGCCGAUGUCGGAUUAGCUAGUUGGCGGGGUAAAGGCCCACCAAGGCGACGAUCCGUAGCUGGUCUGAGAGGAUGAUCAGCCACACUGGAACUGAGACACGGUCCAGACUCCUACGGGAGGCAGCAGUGGGGAAUAUUGGACAAUGGGCGCAAGCCUGAUCCAGCCAUACCGCGUGGGUGAAGAAGGCCUUCGGGUUGUAAAGCCCUUUUGUUGGGAAAGAAAAGCAGCAGGUUAAUACCCCGCUGUUCUGACGGUACCCAAAGAAUAAGCACCGGCUAACUUCGUG
rnacentral:rRNA from 1 species